CAUGGGCUCACUGAUGGUGGUUAAUAUUAACAACCCGUAUUUCCAUAGAGGUUUGCGAUUAUCUCCUCAUCCCACCUCGAAUUCCGCCUGCAGAGCUGAGACGAUGGCCAUGAAUGCUGCCACAAUCCCACCUCACGUGUGCACCUCGUAGUCACUACUUUUCCUCCAGACAUUUUCUCAAGCCAGAAGAAUGAGCACAGCCCACAUCUGAAGCAGCCUGAGAGGCUGGGCCUGCAGGGGAGAUACCGGCCCUAUGGAAGGCAGUUGGUGGGCAAAAGUCCGGUUUCUACGCUUUGAGGGGACACCUGUGGGGCACCCUGAGGCCCAGCCCUGCUGGGUGAGUAUGGCCUGGCUGUGUGUCUUCACAGCUCCUAUCACGACUUCAAAUUAUCUUCCACAUUUGUCUCCAGGUGACUAAUUACUGAGCCUGCUGGCCUUUGGACUGGAGCUACACCAUCAGCUCUCGGAGGUCUCCACUCGCCAACUCACCCUGCAGAUCACGGAACUUGUCAGCCUCCAUAACUGCAGGAGCCAAUGCCUUAUA